rnacentral:lncRNA from 1 species
AAAGCAAAGUGCUGAUUCAUGGGGGAGCACGGGAGUUUGUGAAGUACGGUAAAUAGAGGCUUGAUAUGGGUUGCAGGGUCAGAAAUGGCUCUUGGAGACUCCAGAUGGUCCACAUGAUGUGGGAUUGUGGAUAGAAAAUUUGCAUGGGGAAAGGGAUGUCAAGGAGUAUAUAAGAUGGGAGAUUAAAGUUGGGGGAAAAGAGUGAGAUUCUGGAAGGAUGAAUGGAUGGAGUGGGGGCUCAUUAUCUCAACAUUUCUCAACAUCUUUUUUGCUGCUGCCAGAAGUGAGGAGGUCACAGUUAGGCGAUCCUUGGCAGGUUCCAGAGGUAAUGAGGUGUGGUGUAUGGAAUUGAUAAGGAAACUGAAAUAUUAGGAGAUUGCAGAAUAUAU